rnacentral:rRNA from 1 species
UACAGAGGUCUCAAGCGUUGUUCGGAUUCAUUGGGCGUAAAGGGCUCGUAGGCGGCCAACUAAGUCAGACGUGAAAUCCCUCGGCUUAACCGGGGAACUGCGUCUGAUACUGGAUGGCUUGAGUUUGGGAGAGGGAUGCGGAAUUCCAGGUGUAGCGGUGAAAUGCGUAGAUAUCUGGAGGAACACCGGUGGCGAAGGCGGCAUCCUGGACCGGCAUUGACGCUGAGGCGCGAAAGCCAGGGGAGCAAACGGG